UACAGAGGGGGCAAGCGUUAUUCGGAAUUAUUGGGCGUAAAGGGUGUGUAGGUGGCGCCGUAAGUCGGGUGUGAAAUUUCGGAGCUUAACUCCGAAACUGCAUUCGAUACUGCGGUGCUUGAGGACUGGAGAGGAGACUGGAAUUCAUGGUGUAGCAGUGAAAUGCGUAGAGAUCAUGAGGAAGACCAGUGGCGAAGGCGGGUCUCUGGACAGUUCCUGACACUGAGACACGAAGGCCAGGGGAGCAAACGGG
rnacentral:rRNA from 1 species